AGAGUUUGAUCCUGGCUCAGACUGAACGCUGGCGGCAUGCCUUACACAUGCAAGUCGAACGGUAACAGGUCUUCGGAUGCUGACGAGUGGCGAACGGGUGAGUAAUACAUCGGAACGUGCCUAGUAGUGGGGGAUAACUACUCGAAAGAGUAGCUAAUACCGCAUGAGAUCUACGGAUGAAAGCAGGGGAUCGCAAGACCUUGUGCUACUAGAGCGGCUGAUGGCAGAUUAGGUAGUUGGUGGGAUAAAAGCUUACCAAGCCGACGAUCUGUAGCUGGUCUGAGAGGACGAUCAGCCACACUGGGACUGAGACACGGCCCAGACUCCUACGGGAGGCAGCAGUGGGGAAUUUUGGACAAUGGGCGAAAGCCUGAUCCAGCAAUGCCGCGUGCAGGAUGAAGGCCUUCGGGUUGUAAACUGCUUUUGUACGGAACGAAAAGCUUUGGGUUAAUACCCUGGAGUCAUGACGGUACCGUAAGAAUAAGCACCGGCUAACUACGUGCCAGCAGCCGCGGUAAU
rnacentral:rRNA from 1 species